GAUGAACGCUGGCGGCGUGCCUAAUACAUGCAAGUCGAGCGAACAGACGAGGAGCUUGCUCCUCUGACGUUAGCGGCGGACGGGUGAGUAACACGUGGAUAACCUACCUAUAAGACUGGGAUAACUUCGGGAAACCGGAGCUAAUACCGGAUAAUAUAUUGAACCGCAUGGUUCAAUAGUGAAAGACGGUUUUGCUGUCACUUAUUGAUGGAUCCGCGCCGCAUUAGCUAGUUGGUAAGGUAACGGCUUACCAAGGCAACGAUGCGUAGCCGACCUGAGAGGGUGAUCGGCCACCCUGGAACUGAACCACCGUCCAGACUCCUACGGGACGCAGCAGUAGGGAAUCUUCCGCAAUGGUCGAAAGCCUUACGGAACAACGCCGCGUGAGUGAUGAAGGUCUUCCGAUCGUAAAACUCUGUUAUUAGUGAAGAACAAAUGUGUAAGUAACUAUGCACUUCUUGACGGUACCUAAUCAGAAAGCCACGGCUAACUACGUG
rnacentral:rRNA from 1 species